rnacentral:rRNA from 1 species
UACGGAGGGUGCAAGCGUUAAUCGGAAUUACUGGGCGUAAAGCGCACGCAGGUGGCUGAGUCAGUCGAUUGUGAAAGCCCUGGGCUUAACCUGGGAAUUGCAGUCGAUACUACUCAGCUAGAGUAUGGGAGAGGGCAGUGGAAUUCCCGGUGUAGCGGUGAAAUGCGUAGAUAUCGGGAGGAACAUCAGUGGCGAAGGCGGCUGCCUGGCCCAAUACUGACCACUCAGGUGCGACAGCG